rnacentral:tRNA from 1 species
UAGACUUUAAGUUAUACUAAACUAAAAGCCUUCCAAGCUUUACAAAAGGGAACCCUUAAGUUUA